rnacentral:rRNA from 1 species
CAUGCAAGUCGAGCGGUAGCACAGAGAGCUUGCUCUCGGGUGACGAGCGGCGGACGGGUGAGUAAUGUCUGGGAAACUGCCUGAUGGAGGGGGAUAACUACUGGAAACGGUAGCUAAUACCGCAUAACGUCGCAAGACCAAAGUGGGGGACCUUCGGGCCUCAUGCCAUCAGAUGUGCCCAGAUGGGAUUAGCUAGUAGGUGGGGUAAUGGCUCACCUAGGCGACGAUCCCUAGCUGGUCUGAGAGGAUGACCAGCCACACUGGAACUGAGACACGGUCCAGACUCCUACGGGAGGCAGCAGUGGGGAAUAUUGCACAAUGGGCGCAAGCCUGAUGCAGCCAUGCCGCGUGUAUGAAGAAGGCCUUCGGGUUGUAAAGUACUUUCAGCGAGGAGGAAGGCGUUAAGGUUAAUAACCUUGUCGAUUGACGUUACUCGCAGAAGAAGCACCGGCUAACUCCGUGCCAGCAGCCGCGGUAAUACGGAGGGUGCAAGCGUUAAUCGGAAUUACUGGGCGUAAAGCGCACGCAGGCGGUCUGUUAAGUCAGAUGUGAAAUCCCCGGGCUCAACCUGGGAACUGCAUUUGAAACUGGCAGGCUUGAGUCUUGUAGAGGGGGGUAGAAUUCCAGGUGUAGCGGUGAAAUGCGUAGAGAUCUGGAGGAAUACCGGUGGCGAAGGCGGCCCCCUGGACAAAGACUGACGCUCAGGUGCGAAAGCGUGGGGAGCAAACAGGAUUAGAUACCCUGGUAGUCCACGCUGUAAACGAUGUCGACUUGGAGGUUGUUCCCUUGAGGAGUGGCUUCCGGAGCUAACGCGUUAAGUCGACCGCCUGGGGAGUACGGCCGCAAGGUUAAAACUCAAAUGAAUUGACGGGGGCCCGCACAAGCGGUGGAGCAUGUGGUUUAAUUCGAUGCAACGCGAAGAACCUUACCUACUCUUGACAUCCAGAGAACUUAUCAGAGAUGCUUUGGUGCCUUCGGGAACUCUGAGACAGGUGCUGCAUGGCUGUCGUCAGCUCGUGUUGUGAAAUGUUGGGUUAAGUCCCGCCACGAGCCGCAACCCUUAUCCUUUGUUGCCACGCGAUUCGGUCGGGAACUCAAAGGAGACUGCCAGUGAUAAACUGGGAGAAGGGGGAAUGACGUCAAGUCAUCAUGGCCCUUACGAGUGAGGGCUACACAGUCCAUGCCAUGCAAAGAAAUCGAACUCUCGAGAGGCUCAAGUCGGUGAACCAUA